rnacentral:lncRNA from 1 species
GGCGUGUAGUGGCUGGGGUAAUACUGCACUCCUAGCCAGUUUCAGAUGAGGCUUAAACUCCCAUACUAGAAAGUAAAUGGCCUUCUGGGGUGACAAAUGGACAUUCGACCAGUUCAUCGACACCACGGUGGCGCUGGACCAUGCAAUGCGGGAUCGAGAACCCUGGCGCCGUGCCUCCCCGAGGAGCAGAACACAUGCAGUUGGGGAGUGGACAUCUGACCCCCGCGGAAAGACAACGGAGAGUACAAGACAACCUCUGCCUGUACUGGGGGAUCCUGACCACUGCCGGCUCCAGUGCCCGGUUCAUCCAGACACCCAGGUGAGUGAAAUCCUCCACUGUAAUCGUUUAACGGUUCCCACCUCUUUAUCCUGGGGAACGGGAGGGGUGACAGUGCAAGCUUUCGUUGACUCAGGCACCGCUGGGUGCUUUAUGGAUGUUAAGUUCACUCAUUUUCAUAAGAUCCCCAUAACCCGAUGUCCGAAACGCCUGAAAGUCAACGGUCUGGACGCUUCGGGAAACCACUGUGAAGGGGGGUGUCUGAAGUUGCCUUGCAGAGCUACCUCCAUCAAAGGGACAGAGCCCAUCCAACAGACACCGAUUCCUCCAGAAUAUCAGGAUCUGUCCCAGGUUUUCAGCCGCACCCAUGCAGGGGAGCUGCCUCAUCACCCUUGGGACUGUGCCCUCGACCUACCACCAGGUACAACUCCUCCGCGCAGGCUCUGCAGCAAUAUAUCUCCAAAGCGCUUGCUUCUGGUAUCAUCCGCCCCUCGACCUCUCCUGCGGCUGCCGGUUUCUGUUUCGUUGAGAAGAAGGAUGGAGGUUUGCGCCCAUGCAUAGACUAUAGGGGGUUGAAUCGCAUAGCAAUUAAGCAUCCCCAUCCCAUGCCUCUAAUCACAGCAGCACUGGAACAGGUACAAAUGGUUCACGAAAUUAGACCUCAGGAGUGCGUAUAAUCUCUUCUGCAUAAGGCCGGGAGAUAGAUACAUAUACUUUAUUGAUCCCACAAGGGAAAUUAUGUUACAGCAGCAGAACACAAGUCAG